UACGUAGGGUGCAAGCGUUGUCCGGAAUUAUUGGGCGUAAAGAGCUCGUAGGCGGUCUGUCGCGUCUGCUGUGAAAACCUGGGGCUUAACCCCGGGCCUGCAGUGGGUACGGGCAGACUAGAGUGUGGUAGGGGAGACUGGAAUUCCUGGUGUAGCGGUGAAAUGCGCAGAUAUCAGGAGGAACACCGGUGGCGAAGGCGGGUCUCUGGGCCAUAACUGACGCUGAGGAGCGAAAGCGUGGGGGGAGCGAACAGG
rnacentral:rRNA from 1 species